UACGGGGGGGGCAAGCGUUGUUCGGAAUUACUGGGCGUAAAGGGCUCGUAGGCGGCCAACUAAGUCAGACGUGAAAUCCCUCGGCUUAACCGGGGAACUGCGUCUGAUACUGGAUGGCUUGAGUUUGGGAGAGGGAUGCGGAAUUCCAGGUGUAGCGGUGAAAUGCGUAGAUAUAUGGAAGAACAUCAAUAACGGCGAAGGCAGUUAACUAUUCUGUUACUGACAUUGAGGCACGAAAGCGUGGGGAGCAAAACGG
rnacentral:rRNA from 1 species